rnacentral:misc_RNA from 1 species
UCAGGGCCAUCUUGUUGAUCUUGUUCAAAUAGAGGUGAAAGCGUUGUUGCAAUCUGCCCUGGAUGUAGCACUUUCUGUUGUUCGUGCUAAUCCUACUAUCUUGGAAGGGCUUGGCGCCCACCUAGAAGGUAACAUGUUGCUUUUUAGCUGUUUUAAUAAUGUACAGAGUAUCACAAUAUUAUGGUUGCUCCAAAAGAGCUUGCAAUCUUUGUUAGAGGCAAGCCCCUUCUUCCGCUGCAGGCUGGCUUGUGAUAGCAAUAUUUGUGCAUUCAGCUCUUCAUUAUUGAGCAAAACACGAAGUUGGCUUAUAGCUCAUCAUAGCGCAACCUUGUGAUUGGCCUGACCUUAGCCUCACAACGUUGUAUAGUUUCACUGAGGUAAAUUUUUGUUCAUUUUGAUAUU